UCCGAUAUGAUUAUAUGCGUCUUUGAUGUUCCGUUUCAUGUACUCUUCAGUCUCUUUGUUAUGUAGCUAAGUACGAUUCACUGUCUUUGAUUGUGAUACAUUCAGAUUCGAGAACAUAACAAACAUUUUGAGUGAGACAGAAAACGUUACCGUGGGUUGGACAUCUCAUUAUUUCAUACAUACCUAACAGAACAAACAGAUUCUGCUUUAAGAAAUAACCUCUAUGAAACUAAGAAGCACAGAUACACUAUUAGAAGUAAAUUAACAGUACAUUGAUCCCUUAGUGACCUAACACCAUCGAGAAUUUGGUAUUUGGUUGCAGCUUUCCUUCUCUGCAGCAAAUAACAAUUUCCAUAUCUGAAGGCAGGCACCAACCAAAGUAAAUGCAUGCUAAAGGAGGAACAAAUAAUGGAUCUAUCAACGUAUUAUUGAUAUUUUUCCAAGAUGUGUUGUACAUUAAUUCGCAUGUAACGAAUCCAUUUUCUAAUAUUGGCUUAUUAGGCCUCCCUUUGCAUACUUUGAACAUCAUAUUUGUUCUUCUUUCUGGAACAUUCACCGUAAACGGCAAAGUAAAUCCAGCAUCGGAAGCUAAUGGUUGGCGAUCCAAAAGCUGCAGAUAUUGUGUUCACAUGUGGGGUCUAUAUAAUUGACAUUAAGUUCGGCUUUGGUUUGUCUCUCCACAUUAUUUAAAAAGCUACCCUUUUUGCUUCUACUUUGGCCCAGAGAAAAUUGAUGGUUAGUACUUUCGGUCACUGGUGAGGUAACAUUGGUGUAGAAACUCUCUUCAGAGUUCUUUUUGGGUUCAAAAAGAAAACAUGGCAAUGGUGGUGAAGAAACUCAUCCAGAUGAGCUUGGAAAUGAACACACUGGGGUAUCAUCAUCCAUAACUUAAAACCAUUUAUUUUCCUCAUUAUGUAUUAACUUUUCUGCCACGAUUUUUUUUUUGGGUUCAUGUAUCUGUUAAUUUCUUAUGCAGAAAAGAGCUAUGGUUUCAAGAGGAGAGAUGACGUUUCAAGAUGUUUACGGUGCAGAGGCAUUGCUGAAUGAAGAAGAUGAGGAGGAUGAUAGUGGUUGGAACCUGAGCAGCAGACGAUACCCGUUGAGUUUGUGAAAUGGUGUUGCGUCAAUUCCACUAUGGUGAAUCGUGGUGAUAUGGUCCAUUGUUAUGUAUGCUUUACUUUCACUAUGACCCAUGAAGUUAUUAUGAUAGGUUCUUCGGAAAUUCACUGUCUCCUUUGAUGCUAAACAUUGUUAUCAUAAUCACACAUUAUUUUAACACAUGUUAUCUUUGUAGAUUGUAAUUGUCUUUGUAAUGUUCCUUUUUGAAAUUAUUUUCUUAUGUUCAGUACACACCGACAAUAAAUAUAUGAAGUAUAAGGUGCAUUUUUGCUGAGCUCUUA